rnacentral:rRNA from 1 species
CCGCCGGCGACCGGCGCACGGGUGAGUAACACGUAUGCAACCUGGCCGUGACAGAUGGAUAACCGGGAGAAAUCCCGCCUAAUACAACAUAAUGCCGGGAGGGGACAUCCCCUGCCGGCCAAAGGGGGCGACCCCGGUCACGGAUGGGCAUGCGGCGCAUUAGGUAGUUGGUGGGGCAACGGCCCACCAAGCCGACGAUGCGUAGGGGUUCUGAGAGGAAGGUCCCCCACAUUGGAACUGAGACACGGUCCAAACCCCUACGGAAGGCAGCAG